rnacentral:rRNA from 1 species
UGGGGAAUCUUCCGCAAUGGACGAAAGUCUGACGGAGCAACGCCGCGUGAGUGAAGAAGGUUUUCGGAUCGUAAAACUCUGUCUUUUGGGGCGAACGUGAGUAUGGUGAACAAUCAUAGUCAGUGACGGUACCAAAGGAGGAAGCCACGGCUAACUACGUGCCAGCAGCCGCGGUAAUACGUAGGUGGCAAGCGUUGUCCGGAAUUAUUGGGCGUAAAGAGCGCGUAGGCGGGAUAGUCAGUCUGUUGUAAAGUGCGGGGCUCAACCCCGUGAUCGCAAUGGAAACAGCUAUUCUUGAGUGCAGGAGAGGAAAGUGGAAUUCCCAGUGUAGCGGUGAAAUGCGUAGAUAUUGGGAGGAACACCAGUGGCGAAGGCGACUUUCUGGACUGUGUCUGACGCUGAGGCGCGAAAGCCAGGGGAGCGAACGGGAUUAGAUACCCCGGCAGUCCUGGCCGUAAACGAUGGGUACUAGGUGUGGGAGGUAUCGACCCCUUCCGUGCCGGAGUUAACGCAAUAAGUACCCCGCCUGGGGAGUACGGUCGCAAGACUGAAACUUAAAUGAAUUGACGGGGUCAUAGCUGUUUCCU